rnacentral:rRNA from 1 species
AUUGAACGCUGGCGGCAUGCCUUACACAUGCAAGUCGAACGGUAACAGGUCUUCGGAUGCUAACGAGUGGCGAACGGGUGAGUAAUACAUCGGAACGUGCCUAGUAGUGGGGGAUAACUACUCGAAAGAGUGGCUAAUACCGCAUGAGAUCUACGGAUGAAAGCAGGGGAUCGCAAGACCUUGUGCUACUAGAGCGGCCGAUGGCAGAUUAGGUAGUUGGUGGGAUAAAAGCUUACCAAGCCGACGAUCUGUAGCUGGUCUGAGAGGACGAUCAGCCACACUGGGAGUGAGACACGGCCCAGACUCCUACGGGAGGAAGCAGUGGGGAAUUUUGGACAAUGGGCGAAAGCCUGAUCCAGCAAUGCCGCGUGCAGGAUGAAGGCCUUCGGGUUGUAAACUGCUUUUGUACGGAACGAAAAGCCCCGGGUUAAUACCCUGGGGUCAUGACGGUACCGUAAGAAUAAGCACCGGCUAACUACGUGCCAGCAGCCGCCGUAA